rnacentral:pre_miRNA from 1 species
AAACGGAACCCCAAAAGUAGCUGUGAGCCUAGAAAUCGGCUGCUGUUGGGUUCUGUUACU